rfam:Colletotrichum orbiculare MAFF 240422 contig03868, whole genome shotgun sequence.
GUCUUCGUGGCUCAGUCGGUAGAGCGUUGGUCUCAUAUCACAUACAUAUGACUCUAUCUUGAGAUAGGGACAUCCAAAGGUCGAGAGUUCGAGCCUCUCCGAGGACA